CAAAUCCUAUAGGCAUGCUAGAAUACACCCACCUAUUUUUUAGAAGGAGUAUUUUAGCAAGUGAAUAACUAAAAAAUGG
rnacentral:pre_miRNA from 1 species